rnacentral:rRNA from 1 species
ACUUCGGUCAAAUGAACUAGUGGCGGACGGGUGAGUAACGCGUGAGCACCUGCCCUGGAGUGGGGGACAACAGUUGGAAACGACUGCUAAUACCGCAUAAGCCGGCAUCGGAAAAGGUUUAUUCGCUUCAGGAUGGACUCGCGUCCAAUUAGCUAGUUGGUGAGGUAACGGCCCACCAAGGCGACGAUUGGUAGCCGGACUGAGAGGUUGAACGGCCACAUUGGGACUGAGACACGGCCCAGACUCCUACGGGAGGCAGCAGUGGGGGAUAUUGCACAAUGGGGGAAACCCUGAUGCAGCGACGCCGCGUGGAGGAAGAAGGUUUUCGGAUUGUAAACUCCUGUCGUUAGGGACGAUAAUGACGGUACCUAACAAGAAAGCACCGGCUAACUACGUGCCAGCAGCCGCGGUAAAACGUAGGGUGCAAGCGUUGUCCGGAAUUACUGGGUGUAAAGGGAGCGCAGGCGGACCGGCAAGUUGGAAGUGAAAACUAUGGGCUCAACCCAUAAAUGCUUUCAAAACUGCUGGCCUUGAGUAGUGCAGAGGUAGGUGGAAUUCCCGGUGUAGCGGUGGAAUGCGUAGAUAUCGGGAGGAACACCAGUGGCGAAGGCGACCUACUGGGCACCAAUUGACGCUGAGGCUCGAAAGCAUGGGUAGCAAACAGGAUUAGAUACCCUGGUAGUCCAUGCCGUANACGAUGAUUACUAGGUGUUGG